rnacentral:lncRNA from 1 species
CGAGUCCCAGGGCGCCCCAUCCCGCCCCUCCGGCGGGCACCUCGACCUGCCGUUCCCUCCGCCUGCAAAGCCCUUCCGGGCCCGCAGUCCCCGGCCCCGACGUCACCUCCAGCUGCGCUCCCAGUUCGCGACGUUAACGUUCCUCCCAACCCCAUCUCUGGUUGGCCCCCUCGACCAGACCUGCCCUCAGACCUGCUGUCCUGGCUGCAUUCUCAAGCCAAGGAAGUUGUGGCCCAGUGAAUUCGCAUCUCAGCGUCCACGAGAAUCCCGUUACCUACAUUAUCAGAUUCCGGUACAAGAAUCGAAUCAGUCUUCCCAUCAGCCUCCAGCCCGGACCCUCGGACGGCGCAGCGGAUUCUGUCCUCUUCCUCCCGAGCAUCUGCACUAUUUGCUACAUGUGCUAGCUAUCUCCAGACUGCCAAUUCACCCACAGAAAUUAGCCUCUAAUGCUGCCACUGUUGCCCAAGAGGGAGGAGAAAGGAGCAGUGAAGGACAUCGGCAACGCCCAAACUCAGACACUGAGUUAGUUAUCCGAAAGAAGGGGCGAGCAGCCCGGAGAGUGCAACCUUACACAGAGGACCCAGCUGGAAGCUAACCAGUGUCCAAGUAGCUGGCCAAGUUCUCAGCUGUCCACUUUGCUGUAGUUACCAUGACCACACGUGUGGGUGCUCUGCAAAAGUACUUUCUCGUGGAUUGAGAAUAAAAGUGAAAUCGCAUCCCCUAAACGCAUCAGGAAGGCUGUACCAGAAAUACAUCCUGUACAAUAAAUACUGUGUACUAGAAAGGUACAUGAACCUCAGAAGAUUAUAGAAAUGGCCAACAAGAGACACGGACACACACAAUCACAAUACACAUCUACUGGCAGUAAAUUUCAGCUCUUACCUGACCAUGUAAUCCAUUUUACUCCUUUUCCGGAUGGUCCCAAAUCACGGAUAAUCAACCACCAGUACUACUCAAGGUAACAUGCUUCCAAUGAGGAAUCACAGCCAUUUUCUAUUUCAGGAGAGCAGUGCCUACAAUCUUAAAUUUGAGGUCUUCCCCUUUCCCACUCAACAGCCAAACCAGUCACUCUUCCUUUCUCUCAAUAAUCUGCAUUUCAUCUACAUUUGAAUCCCAGGAGCCGGAGAGGGAUGGGGGAUGGGGCUUUCAAGACGAAAGGAACCAAAAAUCCAGUAACCACUACUCUCCAAGCCAAAGGCAUUGUAAGUUUGGGUGUCUGGGAAAAGCUGCUGAUCUUGAGUCCUCUUUCAGCACUUCCUACCCUCCUAAGCAUCUUGGCUACCUGCUCCAAAACUCAAAAUUUAAUUGUGGUUUUGAUGAAGAAAAGAUCAAUGUUUGUUUAAAUACACUGAAGCUAAAAAGGAAAUUAAAUCCUGUUCUUCUUAUGGGAUCCCCACUCCGUAAAACUUGCUGGAAUUCCCUCACCCAGUCAUCUACUCAAAGGAAAGUAAGAACGAAUCCAACCUAAGACACAAGAGAGAGUCAGAGCACCAGUCAUAAGAUGAAUUCAGAUCCGAGGGCCUUCUUUGAACUUGAAGCCAACCAGUUUUUCCUUCCCCAAGAGUUUAAACUGGAUACCAGUGCCCUUUUCUGGCCAACCAAUAACAUCUGAUUUCUGGUUUCAGCCGCUGUUUCCUUCCCUGGUCAAAUAGUCAAUUUCCCCAUUUCAGCUGGCAGCCUCUCCCUGCCUCUCUCUGUCCUGGUCCUUGGGUAUCAUUUCUUUCGUGUCAAAGCCGGUGGCCAGCUGCCGCACUGCUGCUUUCUGGCCACAUACCACCAUUUAUUUAACUCUUUGCCCUAUGGAUGGCAAAUCUGAGACUUCUUAACAUUUGAUUUCAUCAAUGUCUUCUUAGGCAGAGGUACUACCACUGCUCAAAACCGAGAAAUUUACAGCUAAGGGCCAUUUUCUUUGUCAUCUCAAUGUAACUUUUUCUAUGUAUCUCUUUCUAUUUCUCUGUGUCUGGCAGUUUAUGUCAGGUGGGCUUACACUCACUAUGUAGACCAGGCUGGAUGUGAACUCCACAGCCUCCUGCCCUAGGGAGGAGGUUGCUAGGAUUACAGGCAUGCUCCUCCACACCCAGCUGGAUCUACCUGCAGUUCUUUUUUUAUUUAGCUGAUGGUGAUUCUAUCCAAAAGAUCUUUGUAAUAUGUAUUUUUUUUUCUGGUACCAGCGAUCAAACUCAGGACCUUGCGCUUGCCAGGCAGGCAUGGCACCACUGAGCUAAAUCCCCGGCCCUGUAAUGUGUAUUUUUGUCCCUUCUUUUAACUGGAAUAACUGAUCAAGAGCAAGGUAGUUUUCUUAUUAAUAACUGUGUACAUUUCCCCAACUUCUGGAGAGAGAAGAGACCAGAAAUCAUAAAGAGCAAAGAGCUACAAGACACUACCGCUACCUUUCGAUCAACUUUAUAUCAGAGAAGUAACGAAUUCAUUGUGAAUUCUCAAAAAACCAGCAAAGGUAACUUUCCUUUGAAUUAUUGUGAUGAUUAAUUAUGUUUAUCAAACAAGUGAAGCUAUCCUAGUAAAUUCAUCAACCUCUGGUGAGAUAGAGAGAGAGAGAGAGAGAGAGAGACCCACAACUGAGAAGAUGAAUGUGGACAGUUUGACUGGUAGGGAAUAUAGCAAUACAGGCCUACCAAAAUCGGGGAAAACCAGAAUUCGCUCAGGAUCCAGGUAGGUGAGUGUUGAAUCUAAGGCAAAGAGUGAAUGAAUUUGAAAGUAAAGCUGGAGCCAGACAGGUGUAUGAAAACACGCAAUGGGGCUCCCUUUGUUUUCAGUCCCUAGUGUGACCAGAGCAGAGCUUCUUGGGUCUGCAGUGGGUCUUCUGAGGCCUGCAGCCCAGUAGCAAGGGCCCCACCUCGGAAGUUCUCGGAGGGAAGUGCCAGUUCUCACCCACUCACCCGCUGCAGCCCAGCAACCUAUUUAACAGGUCUUCAGGGGGUCCCAAUGCAGGCUAACAUUUGAGACUACGCUGGUUCACAGCAAUAGAUAUUUGUACUGAUAUAGGAGAAGUAUGCCCGGUGCAAUGGUGCCCACCAGUAGUCCUGCACUCUAGGAGGCUGAGACAGGAUGAUCAUGAGUUUGAGCCCAGCCAGGGCAAAUUAGCAAGAUCCUGUCUCAAAAUUACAAAAAAUAAAAAAGGGCUGGGGGUAUAGCUCAGUACAAAGGCCCUGAGUUCACGAAUAUAUUUUAUAUAUAUACGUAUGUAUGUAUAUUUUUAUCAAGCUACUGGCUUCAAACCAUUAUAGUCGGUCAUUAAAUUUUUUUUUUGGUACCAGGGAUCAAACUCGGGUCCUUGCACUUGCAGGGCAGGCGGCAGAACUAGUGAGCUAAAUCCCCAACCCUCAUUAAAUCUUUUUAGUAGAGCUUGACUAGCAUUUUUUGAAUGAGACAGAAUUGAAUGGAUAGAAUGCAAUGAAUGGAAAAAGCAUUCAUCACUUCACUAAGGGUAACUGCUAUGUAGUAAAGUUUGUUUCCAUUAUACAUACACACAUUUAUACAGUACAUGCACAUAUAUGCAUAAAUAUAGAUUCAUAUACACAUAUUACUGUGUACUUGGUCAUGAUGCAAAAUUAGUGUCUUACAUUUUGAGCUAGGUUAAAAAAUUUAAAGCCAAUGUUGGAAAGACAGGUGUCAGACAAAUCCCUGUAAGCUUGGGAUUGUUAAUGCUACAUGAAUGAUAUUAUG